UAAGCGAACUGCUGACCCUGAUAUGCACUCUAGCCUACAGGACACUUCCAGCCUUUUUUCUUCCACAGGUAGAAGAUUUUACUUUUCCCAGUGGUGUAAACAGAUGGUGACAGAGCAUCAGACUUGUAAAAGAGCAGAACAGAGUCAAGUACAGCUACGACCUUUCCUGAAGAUGUCUGCUCAAUGCAGCAAAGGGUUUUCUGGGACUCCAAGAGAAGCACUGAAUCAGAGUCCUUUUUCACCAUUGGAUCUAUUUAGCUGGAAUGAGCAAAAUAAACUUGAAUAACUUUAAAAAAAAGAAAAAAGAAUGGCUCUCUCCUUACAGAAAAAAUUGGUCUUUUUACACUUGGAUAAUUAAUAUCCUCACAAGUCUUCUUCUGCUUUGAGGAUUUAUGAAUUUAUUUAUUCAGAAGAUCCCCUACCCACUAACAUCCCAAUGUGACUUUGCAUAUCUGAGUAGUUCUACCAACACCAUCAAGAUUACUCACCAUCUGAGAAUCUGUAUGUGUACUUUCCUGAAGGAGAGCUCAAGGAUCUGAUCUGCUAAGAUCAAGCACUCUCCGGGCUACUGACUAAACAUCACCUGCAAGGAUGUGGUCCUUUUCAGAGUCAUGACCCAGGAACACUAGCAAAUAUUCAUCUCCAUGUGGAAGAAACAUUCAUCUUAAUGUGGAAGGGGGAAGGCUCAAGGCUGAGGAUUGAGUCUACUAACUGUAAUCUAAAAUGUAAUCCUUGAGCUCCUAAAUGCUUAUAGAUAUCAAACUUAUUUCAUCAGUUCCAGAAAAACAUUACCACUUCUGCUGGACAGAAACAGGCACACAAAAUUUUGCUUUUUUAUCUGUUUAUGAACCUCGAAGCCAGAAGACAGGCACAACCUUGUUAGGGAUUUUGAAAUUAAGACUGGGAAAAAAAUCCUUCUUCUGAAUUGUUGUAUGCAUAAAAAACUCAACAGCAUGAUACUUUGUGGUCCCCAUGUACCCUGAGAUUUGGAGAUUUUUAAGCUGGUUCCCCCAGAGCUCUAGGAUUUCUGCCACUAAUUCUGAAUGCUCUCAACACUGAUACUCAGUUUUCUUGGUGAAGGAGAUAGGUGGUGGCAAUUCUAUAGCUUCCACUUACUCCUGUAAUUUGAAAAAAAGUGCUGAGGGCAAUUCUCACCAUAUUUUAAGAAUUUAAAGUGGGUCAGCUUUUGGUCUACAUGGAUUGAUGGAGCCCUUCAAAUAGGCUCCAGCUAUAGCACAGUAUUAAUCAAUGUACCAGACAAAAAAAUACAUUGUUUCCUUGCUGAGAAUAGCAUGUUUUCCUUUGCUUAUGAAUUGAUCCCUGAAAGGUUCCUCAUGGGAAUAUGUUUGUUCUUUCUUUCUUUGCUUCUUUCUUUCCUUCUAAGGCAAAAUGGCUUUAAACUACAGUUGUGCAAAUCUGUAGGAAACUCCAGAACUCAUUGAUCCAUAGGCAGCAUAGGUAUUAAUCUACCUGGGCUGGGAGACUAAAAGAAUGAAUGGUUAAUUAAAUAGCCUUGGGGUUAUUUUCAAAACAGCAUUGUAAGCAGUGAUGGGCAAACCUCAAAAUGUUUUUAUACUGGCUUCAGUUCAGAUCAACUUCCUAAAUUUCAUAGACUGAUCUGCUCAUUGGAAGCAUGCAUAAGAGGGAAAAAUACUUAGCGGCAAUAUUUUAAGUUAGACCAAUCAGGCCAGUAGUAAAAAAUGAGAAAAUAUUUAGAAAAUGUAUUUUAUUCUUGUGUCUGAGACUCAAUACACAUUCCAAAUACAUUUAAAUGUACCUAUAAGAGAAAGAAUGGGUGUUUGGACAGUUUUCCAAAUAUUCCUCAAUGGAAAAUGCAAAAUUUAUUAUUAAAUUUUAUUUUCAAAGUUACUAUUUAGUGUUUUGCAAAACUGGUAACAAUGUCAAUGCAAUACGUUUUUUUUAUUCUUCUCACAGCUUUUAGUUCUUGUUGCUUCCAGUAAAUGAAAAGACCUUCAUAAACUGACACGCAUGAUGAUACUGGCAAAUCCCUCGGGAUCAUUUCUUUUGUGACACCAACAAAAUAGAAGAGUGGAGAGAUGUCUGAGUAUAGAUUUUGUACAUCAGCUUCCAUGAUACAUAAAUCGACCCAUAAACUGUAUAUAUUCAUGUAUCUCCCCCUCCCUGCUCUUUGUUCUUCGCUUAUUGCAUAUUUUGCCAAUGCAGUAAAACUGCUGGAUGACACAAACUUAUUCUACGAGGCUUUAAGCUAAGCAAGGGCACGGUAAAACCAUCCUACAAUGCAGAGCCCCAUUUAAUUUAUGUUGCCUCUACCUGAGGCUUGUCACUGUGUUAACAGCACCUAUGUCUGUCUAUUUCAUUGCUUUUGAUCAUCUCAAAGGGCAGGAAGGAGCAAGAGAAUGCACAAAAAUUUGUCUUUCCAGUAUAUAAUGAAGACAUAAACUCAGAUUUAAAGCUGUUAGAGGCUGCCUAUUAUUGUACUAUCAAAUAAUGGAGCUCCUUCCUGUGAAGUGCUUCUGGAUGUGAUGGCACGAGAAAUAAUGUGACAUUACUUGAGUAAAUGGGUGGAUAAAACAAUUGCAAUGAUUUUUGUCAGGGUUUUAAGGGUGGCCUGCAUGCACUUCGGUCAUGCAGUUUCUGCUGCAGCUUGGCACUGUUCUAGCUCUAACAUUAAUAGAUCCCUCUUAGAUCUAACAGCCAGAUGGUCAGCAGUUGUGAACUACUUACUGAACCGCUCUUGAAGCUACGCCAGGAUAUUUGUACACACAUAUUCUUUCUGCAAGCCAGUGCUAUAAGGUCAUAGGAAGAACAAGGUCAGAAGUGAUUCGUCUCAUGUUUUUGGGGGUGUGCGUUGGCCUGAGUGGCCACACACAGUUGCUGAGCAGCAAACAGAAGAAGUGGAGAUAAUAAUUCAUAACAAGCCAGCUAUUAAUUGAAUUUUUGAGUCUUCUUAUGUUUGCAAAUUGUCCAUGAACAUACCCUGAUUUUCCGGAAUGCAUUUGUUACUCAGAGUUAUUUGCUGACACAGGAAACAGAAACCACAGAAAUGCUGGCUGGGGCUUACCCUUAUUUCUUAAAGGCUAAGCAGAAUAGCCAUCAACUAGGCACUUACCGUGAGGCCUGGUGACAGAAAAAUGGAGUGUAAAGUCAAAAUAUACGAAGCUGAAAGAUAGAGAUACCCAUCAUAAAAGAGUUUGCAGCCUCUUGACCUCAGCAAUAUUACCAGCUACAUGCCAUAACUUGAUCUUUGGCAUUAAACACUCUGCUGAGUAGGUGUUUGCUGUGUUACCACCUUCCUGGAUGUUUUUUUGUAGCUGUCUUAACCCUUGGGCUGCUGCCAAGCUCCUCCUACAUCUCUUCCUCUUGACAUAUAUUUUCAACUCUUUAGGUAAAUUUUGGUUACAAAACCUCCUGAAAGAAACUUGGACCUCCUUCCCAGACAUUUUAUUAAUAAUUUGAAGAUAAAGAUACCCUUGUAAGUGUACUUGUUCAACCAUUUUGAUCAACUAUUUUCAGCCACAGUAUAAUUUUUGUCUGCCUCUGCUGCUUUUAUCUGGAAACAUGCACAUGUACAUGAAGUUAUGUCCUGAAGCACUUACAGUCUGAAGACAGAAGAGGAAGGAAGACAAUAGGGAACAUAACUUCUGUACUUCCUUUUUGGCAUGCCUGUGGCUCACUUUAGAACUUCUAGCCUUUGCCUUAAACCUGUAACAUCCUGGAUAACCUCAGACACCUUUAGGGGCCAGUUUGUUAAAUACCUGCUGUGAUGCCCCUACUUCAGAGGAGCGCAAAAGACAGUGCUACUCACUCACAAUCUCUGCCAUUUAGAAACUUGCCAUUGCCAUAGUGACAAAUUUGAAAACCACUUUCAAUUUUUAUUUCUCACUCCUUUUCUUUUCAUAUCUCAGAAUGCAGACUAAAUUUCCACCCUCCCUUUCCUUUUUUUUUUUUUUUUAAUGUUGAACUGGGAAUUGUUUUGAGUAGCUCCAUUUUCAGUGCAUAUUCCUGGCCUAGCAUAACACUAAUGAAUAGCUCGCUUGUGAGAAGUGUAGGCAGAAGGAAUGUGAUCGCAGGCAAAUUUCACUAGGAACUGAAACAAACAUUCACAGAGAAUAUUUUCUGGUGUUCAGUCACACUGGCUAACCAUUAAUUGAUGGGAAUAAGUAUCUCUAGUUAAAUGCAGUAUCUAAGUAACAGAGCUGUAUAACACACAUUGCCGUGUUGCACUUAUCAUAUUGCUUCCACAUGUGAGCAGAGAGGCUGUGUGAAAAGCAGCUUCACAGGUGCAAUGCAGGGUGGUCUAACAGGUGCAAGAAGCCUUUGAAAUCUCCUCUCCCUCUUAUUCUCCCUAUCUUCAGAAAAAAAUCCUAAAACAGAAGGGGUAGUGUUGUGGGAGUUUCUUGUUUAUUUGCCCUUUUAGAAAGGAUUUAGGGGUUAAAAUGGAUGAAAAGAAGAAUACAAAUCAAUGUAGUUAAAUUAUUAGAGUAUCAUACCAAGAUAUCAUCAUAGAACAGGUGAAUUUUGCCCUCAGAAAAUGUCUUUUCAGUUGGGCUGGUCCUUAGGUUAGGUUUGCACAGUAAAAGUAUGAUCCCAUUUCCUUAUUCAGUCACAGAGAAGCUGCCUUGAAGUCAACUACUGCCUGCUGGUCACUUGCCACUGCUUGUCAGGAAUGAGCAUAGAAGGCCAGGAAGACCAAAUAUAUCCCUUUCAGAAAUCUUCAUGGCUUUUCCAGUUAUCAGUGUGGCUUCUGUGAUUCCAUUACAGGGUAAUGGCUGUUAUAAUUGCUAUGUGACAUAGAGUCUAGAGGUCUAUCCCAAUGUGAAAGUUAUAUACAUCACAUUUUCAGAUAAGGUUCCUGUAUACAGAACAAGGACAGCAGCACCUCUCCAAAGUGUGCCUUCUUUGAAUCGAAGCUUUUGGGCUGGGGACCAUCGCUGACUUUCUGCUGAGACAACACAUCACAACAGGGUCUCAGUCACAGGUAUUAUGACAGCAAGCUGACUUGAUAAAUAUAGAAAUUGGAAGAAUUGGUGACUUAAGUGAGAAACUGAUAGCAUUUACCCAUCUGCUGAAUUCCUAUUUUCAGUAGGAGAUACACAAGAGCAUAGGCACUACUGUGCG